AUCUCUACUUACGAAAGGUGAAGUCUCUUGAUUUCGGUUGUUUUGCAACUAGCUUGGAGUGGUGAGAAACUACAGUAUUGUCAUGUUCUCACCAUCAGAGGGACAAAUUUUUCCAGGGUCCUUGAAGAUAAAUGUGAGGGAAAAGCAUAAAUAGGCCUAUUUGGGAUUCAACUUCCAUAAGGGAAGAAGACAAGGAGCAUCGGUGGCAAUCGGCCAGAUGGAAGAAGAUCAAAAUAGCGUCAACAGCAUGAUUAUACAAAAGUGAGAGUUGAGAAUAGUGAACAUAUUGGCAUUCAAGAGUGACACAAAAGUAAGCACAAGAAAACAGACAAAACUCAUUCUGGAGCUGGGUUACUGAGGAAUGCGUGGAUUUUCUAGCUGGCUGCACUUGGGAGAAAAGUUUAAGGCAAAUAUGCAUAUUGCCUAGACGUCAAAAGUA